rnacentral:snRNA from 1 species
UGAGCAAUUUUGCUGCAACUUCUCUCAUUCCAUUGAUCACCAGGGUUGAUUGGGCUGCUCUCCAUCACUACUCAAUGUGCAUCCUUCCCAGAGCUGCAUGCUUGGGUGGAAAAGACAACCUUCCCCAAAUAAAUGAGGGCCAGUCUUUGGUCAAUGAUAUGUGAGUAGUUGUGUUUCUGCUGCUAGAAGAUAUAAACAAACUAUCAAAGCAAAUUUAUUUAUUUUUUAAUGUGAGGUUCAAAUGUGCCAUGAUGCCCAUAUGGAAGUCUGAGAACAAUUUAU